rnacentral:rRNA from 1 species
UACGGAAGGGGCUAGCGUUGUUCGGAAUUACUGGGCGUAAAGAGCGCGUAGGCGGCUUACCAAGUUGGGGGUGAAAUCCCGGAGCUCAACUCCGGAACUGCCUUCAAAACUGGUAGGCUCGAGUCCGGAAGAGGGGCGUGGAAUUCCCAGUGUAGAGGUGAAAUUCGUAGAUAUUGGGAAGAACACUGGAGGCGAAGGCGGCGCCCUGGUCCGGUACUGACGCUGAGGCGCUAAUGCGUGGGGAGUAAACAGG